CAAAGAAGAAGAACUCGUUUUUUUCAUCCGUUUACCCUCCUCCCCCUCUUGAUGAGGAAGUUUAUUUCCUGGUUUCUCCAUUCAAAUAAAGGACACCGAGGAAUCGCGUGGUCACUGCUGUUGUUGACAAAAUGUGGACAUUUUUCUAUUUAAUAUUUGAAUCGUGAAGGAUUCACGGCGACGUAUGGAUUCAGUUGGUGGUGACAACUGGCGGAGACGCACGAGGAGCGCGCGAGCCUCCUGCAGACAACACGCCGGAGCACGAGCUGACGAGUCCUAUGUGCUGCGGUGUCUGAGCGUGGGAAACACGGAAAAAGACAAUGACAUGGAGGAGAACGCUGGCCUCUUCAAGCAGGACAACCUGGAGCGGAGGGUCAUGGCGCCCCGCUACAGCCUGCUGCGGGAGGUGGGAAGGGGCACGUACGGCGUGGUGUACGAAGCGGUGGCCCGGAGGUCUGGGGCUAAAGUUGCUGUGAAGAAACUGCGAUGCGACGCGCCGGAAAACGUGGAACUCGCCCUGCAGGAGUUCUGGGCGCUGGCAAGUCUGGAGAAACGGCAUCAAAAUGUGGUGCAGCUGGAAGAGUGUGUGCUGCAGAGGAAUGGCAUGGCCCAGAAAAUGAGUCAUGGAAACAAACGGUCCAAACAGUACCUGCGUCUGGUGGAGACUUCACUGAAAGGUGAGAGAGUGCUUGGUCCUCCAGAGGAGCCUUGUUACCUCUGGUUCGUCAUGGAGUUCUGUGAAGGUGGUGACCUUAAUCAGUUCAUCCUAUCUCGGCGGCCCGACCCACGAACCAACAACAGCUUUAUGCUCCAACUGACCAGCGCUGUCGCUUUCCUGCAUGAAAACAACAUUGUCCACAGGGACCUCAAACCUGACAACAUCCUCAUCUCAGAGAAGUCAGGGACUCCAGUUCUCAAGGUGGCAGACUUUGGCCUGAGUAAAGUUUGCGCUGGUUUAGGAAACGCCAGUGAGGGCAAAGAAGGUGAAGACAAGAACAAAAAUGUCAAUGUCAACAAGUUUUGGUUGUCAUCAGCGUGCGGCUCAGACUUCUAUAUGGCUCCCGAGGUGUGGGAGGGCCACUACACAGCCAAGGCUGACAUUUUUGCCCUAGGCAUCAUCAUCUGGGCCAUGUUGGAGCGAAUUACUUUCAUUGACGCUGAAUCUAAGCGGGAGCUGCUGGGUACAUAUGUGAGACAAGGAGCGGACAUUGUGCCGGUGGGUGAGGCACUGCUAGAGAACCCAAAGAUGGAACUGAACAUCCCACAGAAACGCAGGUCAUGCAUGUCUGAUGGAGUGAGGAAGCUGCUGCUUGACAUGCUCGCUGUCAACCCUCAGGACCGGCCCGAUGCUUUUGAGCUGCAGGCCAGAAUGGACCAGGUUAUGUGUGCUGGAUGACUCAACCAGAUUGUUUUACAGGACGUUCCAGAGCCCCGGGGCUCUUACUUCAAAAGCCCUGUGCCCCUUAGUCUUCAGCUGAGAUUCUGGAACACACAAAAGGCCCCGGCCAGAGGAUCUCAAGGUGCGGCAUAUAGGUGACAUAUAGCGCAAGACAAAUGCGAUUAAAAACACAAACAUCAAUUUUGACUUCAUGGGAACUUUAAUUAUGAUCAAGACUUUAGAUUCUACUUGGGUUGCAACGGUAUGAGAUUUUCACAGUACGAUAAUUGUCUCCGAAAAUAUCAUGGAUUUACAGUACAGGGCUUGACAGUAACUGUUGCCAUUGGCAACCAUUUUGAGAAAUUGGCAACCAGUUCUUGGCCUUUGGUUGACAACUAAUUUUUUGACAUAUAAAAAAUAAGGACAGCAACCAUGCGCCCCAAAAUAAAAAAAUAAAAUAAAUAAAAUAAAUAUUUGUUGCGUUAGUGAUAUUUAAAUGUUGCUGUUACAGUCAGAACUGGAACCAGACACCGCUGCACGUGCGUUGAGGUAUCUGUUUUAGAGACAAGGGUAAAAACAAAUUAAGUUGUUUGACUGUGGGGUGAAAAGUUCGACUAACCUGUCGACAUCACAAACAAAUGUGCAAAUUGAUUCAGUAGACAAAGAACCAGAUGAACUUGAAUGGGGAGGGGGAUUUGAAAUGGGAAAAGGGAUAGAACAGACGAACAACCAGUGAAGAAUAUGACAACAGCUGCACGACUGGUAUUUUGUAUACCAGGAAUCGAGGGUGGACACGUUAACUGAUAACACUUAAGAUUCAAAUUCUGUUAAGUAUCAUAUAAAACACAUCAGUUACUGUAAUAAAGCUUCUAAACAUUCUUUUGUCACAUUUUUGUUAUUAAGCUGACAUAUAACUGCAUAGUAUCUUAUUACUCAAAAUAUAGGGUUACUAAAAAUGGCAACCAUAUUUUCAGUUAUGGCAUUAUUAUUAUUACUAUUGUUAUUAUUAUUAUUAUUAUUAUUAUUAUUGUUAUUUAUCAGUUUAUCAGUUACAAUGACUCUUAAAGGAAUGAAAACAGGAGGGUUUCUCUGGUUGAACGCUUUAUUAUAAUUUCACAAAAUAUUGUGUCCUGACAGAUAUGAAACCCGGUUUUUUUUAUAUAUAUUUUUUUAUAACACUAAUACGGUAGAAUUCAAUACCAUAGAUAAGCAAAUGUACAUGGUAUGAUAACAAUUCAGUUUUCAUACCACUUUAUUCGGUAUACCGCUGCAACUAACUUUUAGUUUAAGAAGAAAAUUAAGGGAGAGAGAGAGACAGGUAGAGCAUCAACAAAUGGGUAAGCUACAGAGUAAGUGUAGGGGAAAGAAACUGAACAGUAACUAAAGGUUGAUUUGGUACUUACUGUAUGUAAUUUUAUUCCGAGUAGUUCUGUGUCCUUCUGUUGUUGCAGUGAUUUGCAUAGAACUACAACAGCAAACUGACCAAACACUGGUUGAAGGUGGGUUUGAUAUUGUUAUCUGGGUGUUCUAACUAGCUGAUUUGUUGCUGAGUUUUAUCAGCUGCUGUUUUUAAUUUAGUGAGUUCUUGUCAAGUCAAAUUUCCAUGCCCGUGUUUUCUGAAAAUAGCCAAUGGGCAAAUGCUUCCUUGUGUGUUGUAUCAGGGGGUAAUAGAUGGAAAAGGAUAAGGCCUGAACCAAAACAUACAUGAUUUUUAUUUUUUAAGAGCAUUGUUAUUCACAAACUCCAUCACCCUUAAAGGUGGAGUAUGUGAUUCUGGAGAAAUCCAAUACCAUGACAAAUACCAUGAUAUAGAACAACGACACAGCAAAUAACAACUAACGUUAGCUAGGUUGUGGGUUAGCAAACUGUCCUUACAGUUGCUGCUGCGAAGCUAACAGCCAGAGAGGACGAGACGGUUUCCCAGAGCCAGCACAGCAGCUCCAGACAGCGAUACUCACAACUCUCCUGCUGCUAUAGCUAACAUCACAACAAUGGCAUAUCUUUGCAAACUAUAAAGUAAGCUCAAUGUCCGCGGGCAAGUCAUAUAACGUAUAGUGUUGUGUGACACUCUCCUCUAUCCACCCAUAUAAAGAUAUUUGUGGUGUGUUGAAAACCUGUGGAAAUACAGGCAGAAAUUAUUUAUAUAUAUUUCAAAUUAAGAAAACUUUUUAAAUGUUCUAGAACAUGUAUAGUACCACUGACAUGCAAAUUGGCAUUUCUUAAUAGCCUAACUUAUUCUGAGAACAACAAUAUGUGACAUGUCUACAGGCUUGGGCGGUAUCUAUUUUUUCAUACCUUCCUGACAUUUCAUUGGGGUAUGCGGUAUAUGACAGUAUUUGUGUAAAAAAAUAAAAAAUUAAUAAUACUAUACCGUAAAAGCUGAGCUGCUGGUGAUAGAAGUCAUUGUAGCAGUGUUUCUGUUUUAACCGGCGCAGCGUUUCUAGCCUUUACGGCGGCCCAAAAUCAUCUCAUGUGACGAUACUCGGCCAAUCAAAUCUGUGCAUUGCGACUCGACUCAGUGAGUGAGAUACACACGCAGCCUGUGUGACACGGGAGACUAGAUGAGACGAGAUAAGAGACAGUCAGAGAAAUAAGCGAGUCAGAGGAGUAAUUUCACUGUGGCGAUUAUUAAAAGCGGCAAUGUGACGCGCAACUAACAUUACGCAACCAAGCACAGAGCUUCUUUUGAGAAAAUUUCAGAAAAUUGUUCCAGGGCUGAGAAAGAAUGUUAUAAGUAACAUUGUUAACACUGUGCUACAUAACAGAGAAAUACAAAACUGUAAUAAAAAUACAUUUUACAAGGGGCACAAAGCGAGCUGCCUGGUGCUAAUGGAAAAAGCGGUAGAGUUGUUCUGAAUAUGUCGGAACAACCAGCAAGGAGACUGAACAUUUUGUUUAAGUUAAUUCAACACAGUAUAACAUCACACGAGUCUUGUUAUUCAAAACACGGGAAUAAAUAACUUCCAACUUCACUAAUAGGCUACUCAGGGACUUAUAAAUACAAUGGAUGAUGUAUAGCGUUACUUACAAAUUAACUCUACAAACUCACUCCUCUCCCGCUUCACGCCUCUCCUGUCUCCACCUGAACACGCUGUGUCUUCAUUGUCCCCGAAGUCAGAAGGCUGGCCGCAGCCGCUAGAUCUUUGGUUCUCCUGUUGUCGCUUGACUUGCUGCCUGCAGCCUUUUCUUAAACAAAGCUUUUCUACUAAACAACCACAAAGCGUGUGUACAGUGGAGCAAAUGAGAGAGUGAGAGCAAAAGUGAUGUUGAAUGUGAGCGGAGAAAAAGGUUAGCAAUAACAACCUCGCCUACAUGUAAGAGUACUGUCUGCGGUGGAAAGGCAAAACAGAUCUAGGGUUUAGGUACAUGUAGGUACGGGUUAGGUAUGGGUUUCAAGGGUACUAGACCGAAAGUGUUUGGUGAAAACACUGCUAAAGACCCCCCCCCGGUACACCAAGCUCCCAGUCCGGGAAGAGUCAGCUAAUAGGGCUGCUAAGUUAGCAAACUAGCUAAUGGCAGCAACUUCAGUUAUUGCUUUUAAGCUGCCUUAGUGUGUGCUCUUAUACUGUCAGUCAUCUUGCCUGGACUCCUCUUAUGCAACCAAACUCCUCUUAUGCAACCAAAGCCCCAGCCUCCUCUUGGCCCGGGGCCACAGAUCCAUCACUACACAGAUGCCUGUGUUUUUAAAAGAGGCUGAGUGAGCAUGUAAUGGCUCCUCCUGUUGUUUUGUACAUAGAUGGUUCAUGUUAGCCUUUGUUUGCUCUUACGUCUUGUGCCUUGCUCUUGUAGGGGGAUGGGGAGGAGUGCAUAUUAUGUGAGCAGGACGGGGGUAGGAGCUGCAAACAUCCCAGCUGACCUUCCCGCUCCUGCUCUGCUUUCUGCCUCAGUCUGCUGAGCCCCAGAGUGUUCCAGAAAAUGCUGUCUGACCCAAACCCUAGAUACAUGUUACCUGGAGCUGCUACAUCAGCGAGGGUCUCCUUGGUUUAAUCUGAAGACUGAAGACAAAGGAGAAGCAAAGGAACGUCCUGAAGUUUGGAUUUUUGUUUUCUUUGAACUUGUUUACAGUGAAGGCAUCUGCCAAUUCUGAUAGGGAAUGUUUGUCUUGCCCUGAAUAUUAUAAUAAAGCAAGAAACAUUACGUCUUACGUGCUUAGUGGGAAGCUUUAUUAAACUGACGUAGCCAUGCCUCCAUCAAAGAAGUCUGGAGAAAUUCCCAUCAGAAAACAUGAGAUAGUGACACUGUGCAAUUGACUCUAAAUUAAAGCUAAGCUGCAGCAUUAGUUUAUGUGUGUGUUCACAGGGGUGAUCGUCUCCAUGUGUCUGACGCUUUUCUAAUAUUUAAUGAAAACACUGUGACAUCAGAUACACACUGCUACUGAAAACUUUGUGUGGUGGUGUUUCUGUUAUUUUGUCUAAAACUUCAGUGAAAUCCGGUCUUAUCUCAGAUGUUUUACUUUGCUGACCGUUAGGAUUGUAUUUCACAUGCUUGUCUUGUCUUGUGUCGGUGUAUUUCCUGUAGAUUACCUGUCGUUACAACAGUGCUCUAGUAAACAUCAUUGCCAUGUGUUGCCCAAGUGAGAUUUGAUGGCUUUAUGGAAUGACAGAAGACAGUGUCGCCACCCCUUUUCUGUUGUUGGGUUUAUAUUUCUCCAGACAUCUGUUGGUUUACACUGAGGUACGCUGCAUAGGAGUCAUGGUUAGUUAUUAGCAGUGGGUCAUAUGUGUAAAAUCCAUUGUCAUGGUAUAUGUAAUUUUUUAUUGCGAUAUAUAAAUCAUGAUACUGUCAAUUUUCUGGAAGUUCAGUUUACACUGUUUUGGCUAAUCCAGUAAAUGAAAAUACUUGCAAAAAUGCAAAAAUCCUGUAAAUUCAGUACUGUCAUAAAGUAGUCAUGUUCAUUGGUUCACAGCAUUGUCCACAAUGUCCAGAUGUAUCCAAAGCUUUUAAAGUGAUAGUUACCUUUAGUAUAAACGACAGAGCAGAAUUUGUAAUGGUUGACAAAUUUCUAUAGUCUCAGUAAAAAUCGUCAUAUUUCCCAACCCUACAAGCCACUGGAUAAUUCUAGAUAUUUUUACCCUGGGUUUUGUUUUCUCGUUAUACCGUCACACUGUGAUCAUGUUUUGACAGAUCAGUCAAGCUGCUCUCCAGUACAGUCCUAAGGGAUCGAUGGAAACAAAAAAAUCCACACAGUGCCACUGUUUACUUCCACAGCCUUUAACUGCUACAACAAUUUUUUUAAUGGUACUUUUUGGCAUUGUUAACACACUUAAUUUCUUUACUCUGCCACCUUUCUGAGGUUCACAUCAGUGUUGCAAACCCUCUCUCCAUUUAGUGCUCAAAUAUGCAUCUUCAGUGUAACGCAAAUAGACUAGGUUUCACUGAAGAUGCAGUGGCUGAGUAUUCUCAUGUGGUCAUGUCAUGUUUUUUUUGCCAGGAAUGUAAAAGCUAGGAAAGUAAAGCCCAGGUCAAAUUUAAGCAGAAUUGUUGUUUGAGCUGAUUUUGAGUAAAUCUGGAGACAUGUAAGCUUUUCACAUGCCCCAUGUUAUUUUACACCACUUCUUUGCCUACUAGAAACCCAGUGCGGAGAGCAGGUUAUUUGGCAGCCUGUCAGUUAACUUCAUGGACACUUUGACCCAUUUGAUUUCCACUGUAGUCUAAUUCUUUAUACCUAUGGUGCCUUGGAAUUGCUUGUCAGGUAAAAUUUGGCUCAAGAUCAGCUGCUAUAUUUUUCUUUGAUUUGGCACUCCAAAUACAUUUUUCAGGGUAUAUGGUCUUGAUGAUUUAGUUUCUUCAGUAUUUAAGAGUGUAACUAGAAACAAUAAAUGUAAUCUGCACCUCAAGGAAUAUAUGAUUUUCCAAAAUUCCUAUGUGGUAAUUUGGAAUAAUCGUGAAACGUGAAUCAAGGGUAUUUUUGCAUUUUACUGUUUUUUGGUAGACCAUGUAUUUGUUGAGUAAAACUAAGUUUUUAAGGGAACUAAAGACUUUAUGUUUAAACAGGUGCCAUUCAUGUUAAAGGAGCAAAGCCGCAGUUAGUUCUUAUCGUUUAGGGUGCAUUAUAGGUUCUAAACUGUGAUGAACAGGAUUUGUUUUUUUUUUUGAGAAAUAAUCACUCUUAAUGUUAAGUGUUGCUAAAAUAAGUCACAGGCCUUUGUGAGGUGAAAUUGUGCCUGUGAGCAAAAGUGGAAUGUGAAAAAUAAGGAGUUUAGAGGCAUUUUGUAACAUUUGUACAGUGAACUACAGCGGAAUAUUGUAAAUUGGUUGAUAUUUUUGUCCUGAAACCAAAGUUCGGAAGGAGACUGCAGAAGCUGAUUGAAAGAUUUCCCUGAAGUCUGUUAUAUGUUGAACUAAACCCUGGGACCCUAAUGAUUUAAAUUAAUCGUAUUUCUUUUUAAUUGUACUACCUCAUGUUUCUGCACAUUUUCUUUACUGAGCCAUUGUUUCAUUUUUCCAGCAAAGACAUUCCUCAGACAAAACCUGGCAGAUUUCAAAGCAAAAGCUUUUUAUUUCAUGUCAUCACAGUGUUUGUUGAGUGUGUGCACUUUUCCUUGGAUUGCAAAUGCAUCACAUGGGUUUGGAGUAAGCAACACUGUUUCUGUUUUUACUGAUGCAUUGUGAGAAAUGGGUUUAGAUUGGUACUGAUGUUUACACACACCUUUAGCUCAACACAGGCCAUAAUGUACUUUUGGUUAAUUUCUUGAAUUUAUGUGAAAAACGUACCUCAGUUCCUCACCUUUUUGUUUCACUAACGUGUGAAUAGUUGAUUGUGCAUGGUAGAGAUGAGAAUCUUGAACUGGAGAUAAGCUAAUGGUUGAGCCAAACUUGAGAUGAUCAACUCACACACAGUUUUUUAUUCUUAAGAUUUCUGAGGAAUUGCUUUUAUUUUACUUUAGAGGAAUGUACUUAAAAUAUAAAGAGAUUUAAGCAAACCCUCAAAAUAUUCCCCUCCAUGUCCAUGUAGCUGCCUCUGGAUGGUUUCCUUUGGUGGUGGAAUGAUGUACCUGUAAAUGUGUGCAGGAACACAGUGUUUGACUAAACUCUAAUGACUAAUAGGUCACUUGUUUUACAUGUAACACUCUUCUAUGCAACUCGGCCUCCCUGGAUACACUGUGGAACAAUCCGGGCCUGGCUGAUUUUGUUUGUCUUCUGCUUCUCAUCCUGACAGGAACUGUACUAUACAACUGGACCUUGUUGUGUUAAGAUGACUUAACCCUUUAUUUCAAUAUAAUUUCAGUCCUUGGUUGUACAUGUUACUAAAGCCAUUAGCUUAAAUGAAAACAUGUUUGUUUUUGUUUUUUUCAGUUGUUGACUUUGUACAUAUCAGCGCUCUGUUUCAAUAAAGGUUGGAAAUACCUCUAA